AGAGUUUGAUCAUGGCUCAGGAAGAACGCUGGCGGCGUGCUUAACACAUGCAAGUCGAACGGUGAAGCAGGAGCUUGCUCCUGUGGAUCAGUGGCGAACGGGUGAGUAACACGUGAGUAACCUGCCCCAGACUCUGGGAUAAGCGUUGGAAACGACGUCUAAUACCGGAUACGAGACGAGAAGGCAUCUUCAUCGUCUGGAAAGAAUUUCGGUCUGGGAUGGACUCGCGGCCUAUCAGGUAGUUGGUGAGGUAACGGCCCACCAAGCCUACGACGGGUAGCCGGCCUGAGAGGGUGACCGGCCACACUGGGACUGAGACACGGCCCAGACUCCUACGGGAGGCAGCAGUGGGGAAUAUUGCACAAUGGGCGCAAGCCUGAUGCAGCAACGCCGCGUGAGGGACGACGGCCUUCGGGUUGUAAACCUCUUUUAGCAGGGAAGAAGCGAAAGUGACGGUACCUGCAGAAAAAGCACCGGCUAACUACGUGCCAGCAGCCGCGGUAAUACGUAGGGUGCAAGCGUUAUCCGGAAUUAUUGGGCGUAAAGAGCUCGUAGGCGGUUUGUCGCGUCUGCUGUGAAAACCCGAGGCUCAACCUCGGGCCUGCAGUGGGUACGGGCAGACUAGAGUGCGGUAGGGGAGAUUGGAAUUCCUGGUGUAGCGGCGGAAUGCGCAGAUAUCAGGAGGAACACCGAUGGCGAAGGCAGAUCUCUGGGCCGUAACUGACGCUGAGGAGCGAAAGCGUGGGGAGCGAACAGGAUUAGAUACCCUGGUAGUCCACGCCGUAAACGUUGGGAACUAGAUGUGGGGGCCAUUCCACGGCUUCCGUGUCGCAGCUAACGCAUUAAGUUCCCCGCCUGGGGAGUACGGCCGCAAGGCUAAAACUCAAAGGAAUUGACGG
rnacentral:rRNA from 1 species